rnacentral:rRNA from 1 species
AUUGAACGCUGGCGGCAGGCUUAACACAUGCAAGUCGAACGAGUGGCGGACGGGUGAGUAAUGCUUGGGAAUCUAGCUUAUGGAGGGGGAUAAUUACGGGAACCUGUAGCUAAUACCGCGUACCAUAGGAUGAGCCCAAGUGGGCUUAGGUAGUUGGUGGGGUAAAGGCUCACCAAGCCGACGAUCUCUAGCUGGUCUGAGAUGAUGACCAGCGACACUGGCACGAAGACACGGCCAAGACUCCUACGGGAGGCAGCAGAGGGGAAUAUUGCGCAAGGGGGGAAAGCUAACACAGCCAUGCCGCGUGAAUGAAGAAGGCCUUCGGGUGGUAAAGUUCUUUCGGUAGGGAGGCGUUAACUACAGAAGAAGCACCGGCUAACUCCGUGCCAGCAGCCGCGGUAAUAC